rnacentral:rRNA from 1 species
UGUUCUCUAAAUAAGGACUAGUAUCAACGGCAUCACGAGGGCUAUACUGUCUCCUUUCUCCAAUCAGUGAAACUGAUCCCCCCGUGAAGAAGCGGGGAUUCAAUUAUAAGACGAGAAGACCCCAUGGAGCUUUAAACCCAACAUACACCCACCCCGCUAAUACAUCAACUAAGCCUCGAGGGCCUGUACGUCGGUUUUAGGCUGGGGGGACCACGGAGCAAAAUCAAACCUCCACAACAAAUGGGCUAAAACCCUUAUCCGCGAUUUACAAAUCCAAGAAUCAUCAUAAUGAUGUUUAAUGACCCGAUAAUUCGAUCAAUGAACCAAGUUACCCUGGGGAUAACAGCGCAAUCCACUCCAAGAGCCCAUAUCGACAAGUGGGUUUACGACCUCGAUGUUGGAUCAGGGUAUCCCAGUGGUGCAGCCGCUA